CGAGAAUUUUUCACAAUGGGCGCAAGCCUGAUGGAGCGACGCCGCGUGGGGGAUGAAUGGCUUCGGCCCGUAAACCCCUGUCAUUCGCGAUCAAACGUUGGUAUUUAAAAGAUGCCAGCCUGAUAGUAGCGGAAGAGGAAGGGACGGCUAACUCUGUGCCAGCAGCCGCGGUAAUACAGAGGUCCCGAGCGUUGUUCGGAUUCACUGGGCGUAAAGGGUGCGUAGGUGGUGAGGUAAGUCGGAUGUGAAAGCUCGGAGCUCAACUCCGAAAUGGCAUUGGAAACUACCUUGCUUGAGGAUUGGAAGGGGGACUGGAAUGCUUGGUGUAGCAGUGAAAUGCGUAGAUAUCAAGCGGAACACCAGUGGCGAAGGCGAGUCCCUGGACAACACCUGACACUGAGGCACGAAAGCUAGGGGAGCAAAC
rnacentral:rRNA from 1 species